GGCGGCAUAGCUCAGUUGGUAGAGCAUACGGCUCAUAUCCGUAGUGUCUGUGGUUCAAUCCCACAUGCCGCUA
rfam:Treponema socranskii subsp. socranskii VPI DR56BR1116 = ATCC 35536 strain VPI DR56BR1116 ctg120007787838, whole genome shotgun sequence.